GGUCUUGUGGUCUAGUGGUAUGAUUCUCGCUUAGGGAUUUUCCCGAGCACAUUUGCGAGAGGCCCCGCGUUCGAGUCGCGGCAAGACCC
rnacentral:tRNA from 1 species